rnacentral:sRNA from 1 species
UCAAGGUGCCUUUUAGGCAUCCUCUCCCACAACUUUUAUGGGCUGGUCUCUGGACCGGCCCUUUUUUUGUGCCGCA